AGAGGGAAGCUCAUCAAUGGGGCCAGGAGCCGAGUGCAUCAUAUCACUCCACCCCCAUAUCCCUUGGGAAGGUAAGGUCUGAGACUAGGGCCAGAAGCAGCCCUAACAGGGCUCUCCCUGAGUUUCCAGGACGUGAGUUCCCAGAGAACAGGGCUCCUCGGCGAGGUCAGGCUGGGCAGGAGAUGUCAUGGACCCUGCCCCUGAGGAGGGGCCUCCGCUGGAGCUUGGAACAGACUCACGGCCAGGCCAGUGAAGUGAACUCAAUGGCUGAGGUGAGGUACCCCGCACAGGGGCUUCAUAACCCAAUUCAGACUACUCUCCCCCAUCCU
rnacentral:RNase_P_RNA from 1 species